rnacentral:rRNA from 1 species
AUUGAACGCUGGCGGCAGGCUUAACACAUGCAAGUCGAGCGGAUUACAGAGCUUGCUCUGUAGUUAGCGGCGAACGGGUGAGUAAUACCUAGGAAUCUGCCUAUUAGUGGGGGAUAACGUGUGGAAACGCACGCUAAUACCGCAUACGUCCUACGGGAGAAAGCAGGGGAUCUUCGGACCUUGCGCUAAUAGAUGAGCCUAGGCCAGAUUAGCUAGUUGGUAGGGUAAAGGCCUACCAAGGCGACGAUCUGUAGCUGGUCUGAGAGGAUGGCCAGCCACACUGGGAACUGAGACACGGUCCAGACUCCUACGGGAGGCAGCAGUGGGGAAUAUUGGACAAUGGGGGAAACCCUGAUCCAGCCAUGCCGCGUGUGUGAA